rnacentral:rRNA from 1 species
CGAAGGUAGCAUAGUCAGUAGUCUUUUAAUUGAAGGCUUGAAUGAAUGGUUGGACGAGGGAUAGGCUGUCUCCUGUGUGUAUUCUGAAUUUAACUUUUGAGUGAAAAGGCUCAAAUUAUUUAGUGGGACGAUAAGACCCUAUAAAACUUGAUAUUAUCUAGAUUUGAUUUGCGAUUUGAGUGAAGAGCGGUUUUAUCUAUAUGAUAUUUUGUUGGGGAGACAUAGAUAUAAUUAGUAACUGUCUAUUAAAUUUAAUAGUGUUAGUUAGCAUUUGAUCCUUCUUUGUGGAUUAAAAGAAUAAGUUACUUUAGGGAUAACAGCGUGAUUUUCUUUGAGAGUUCUUAUCGACAGGAGUAGUUGCGACCUCGAUGUU